rnacentral:rRNA from 1 species
CUACGUGCCAGCAGCCGCGGUAAUACGGAGGGUGCGAGCGUUAAUCGGAAUAACUGGGCGUAAAGGGCACGCAGGCGGUGACUUAAGUGAGGUGUGAAAGCCCCGGGCUUAACCUGGGAAUUGCAUUUCAUACUGGGUCGCUAGAGUACUUUAGGGAGGGGUAGAAUUCCACGUGUAGCGGUGAAAUGCGUAGAGAUGUGGAGGAAUACCGAAGGCGAAGGCAGCCCCUUGGGAAUGUACUGACGCUCAUGUGCGAAAGCGUGGGGAGCAAACAGGAUUAGAUACCCUGGUAGUCCACGCUGUAAACGAUGUCGAUUUGGGGGUUGAACUUUAAGUUUGGCGCCCGUAGCUAACGUGGUAAAUCGACCGCCUGGGGAGUACGGCCGCAAGGUUAAAACUCAAAUGAAUUGACGGGGGCCCGCACAAGCGGUGGAGCAUGUGGUUUAAUUCGAUGCAACGCGAAGAACCUUACCUACUCUU